rnacentral:rRNA from 1 species
UCAGGAUGAACGCUAGCUACAGGCUUAACACAUGCAAGUCGAGGGGCAGCGGGAUUGAAGCUUGCUUCAAUUGCCGGCGACCGGCGCACGGGUGAGUAACGCGUAUCCAACCUUCCGUACACUCAGGGAUAGCCUUUCGAAAGAAAGAUUAAUACCUGAUGGUAUGAUGAGAUUGCAUGAUAGCAUCAUUAAAGAUUUAUCGGUGUACGAUGGGGAUGCGUUCCAUUAGGUAGUAGGCGGGGUAACGGCCCGCCUAGCCAACGAUGGAUAGGGGUUCUGAGAGGAAGGUCCCCCACAUUGGAACUGAGACACGGUCCAAACUCCUACGGGAGGCAGCAGUGAGGAAUAUUGGUCAAUGGACGAGAGUCUGAACCAGCCAAGUAGCGUGAAGGAUGAAGGUCCUACGGAUUGUAAACUUCUUUUAUAAGGGAAUAAACCCUCCCACGUGUGGGAGCUUGUAUGUACCUUAUGAAUAAGCAUCGGCUAACUCCGUGCCAGCAGCCGCGGUAAUACGGAGGAUGCGAGCGUCAUCCGGAUUUAUUGGGUUUAAAGGGAGCGCAGACGGGUCGUUAAGUCAGCUGUGAAAGUUUGGGGCUCAACCUUAAAAUUGCAGUUGAUACUGGCGUCCUUGAGUGCGGUUGAGGUGUGCGGAAUUCGUGGUGUAGCGGUGAAAUGCUUAGAUAUCACGAAGAACUCCGAUUGCGAAGGCAGCAUACUAAUCCGUAACUGACGUUCAUGCUCGAAAGUGUGGGUAUCAAACAGGAUUAGAUACCCUGGUAGUCCACACGGUAAACGAUGGAUACUCGCUGUUGGCGAUAUACUGUCAGCGGCUUAGCGAAAGCGUUAAGUAUCCCACCUGGGGAGUACGCCGGCAACGGUGAAACUCAAAGGAAUUGACGGA